rnacentral:rRNA from 1 species
UACGUAGGGGGCAAGCGUUGUCCGGAUUUAUUGGGCGUAAAGAGCGCGUAGGCGGCCAGAUAGGUCUGUUGUGAAAACUCGAGGCUCAACCUCGAGACGCCGACGGAAACCAUCUGGCUAGAGUCCGGAAGAGGAGAGUGGAAUUCCUGGUGUAGCGGUGAAAUGCGCAGAUAUCAGGAAGAACACCCGUGGCUAAGGCGGCUCUCUAGUACGGUACUGACGCUGAGACGCGAAAGCGUGGGGAGCGAACAGG